rnacentral:rRNA from 1 species
AGAUGCAAUUUUUUUAUGUGGCUUGUCAUUCACCGAAGGUGUUUAACAACAAAUAAUCUAGAUUGCAGGGAGGAUUGCGCACAUCUGUUUAUGCACUAUUGUUUAUCCCAGCAGGUUUGGAUAAAAUUCAAGGAUUGGAACAGGGCAGACUUUUGGACUCCAGAUGACAGCUUUGGUAGUACGGAGGUGUGGUGGCUGAAUACGAGGAAGGAGGUCCCCAAGCCGGAAAGGCAUAAUUUUGACACUAUCGCAAUCCUGCUACACUGGAGGAUUUGGAAAGAACAGAAUGCCCGGAUCUUUGAGCAAGUGGCUAGCAAUGUGGACAGGGUGCUCGAACUAAUCAGAGAGGAUAUUGCAACAUGAAGGGCUGCUGGCUGUGUUGGCAAUCUCUGUUGA